AGCAGUCGCCGCGGUAAUACGAAGGGUGCAAGCGUUACUCGGAAUUACUGGGCGUAAAGCGUGUGUAGGUGGUUGUUUAAGUCUGUCGUGAAAGCCCUGGCUCAACCUGGGAAUUGCGAUGGAUACUGGGCGACUAGAGUGCGGUAGAGGAUAGUGGAAUUUCCGGUGUAGCAGUGAAAUGCGUAGAGAUCGGAAGGAACAUCUGUGGCGAAGGCGACUAUCUGGGCCAACACUGACACUGAGACACGAAAGCGUGGGGAGCAAACAGGAUUAGAUACCCCGGUAGUCCCUGUCUCUUAUACA
rnacentral:rRNA from 1 species